CAGCAGCCAGAGAGGAAGGAGCUCCCCGAGCAAUGAUGCGAGAACCUCAGCUUCUGGAAGAGUCCCACUCAGCUAGGGGAAACAUUAUUACAAAUUGUGUUGUAACUGUCACAUCCUGAUACAGCUAUACUGUGAAGCCUUUACUCAUGUAGCCUGAAACACUUGGUGCAACAAGGCAUCCAGUCAAACCAAACCAUCCAAAAUUUGUGUUUGGGCUGCAAGGAAUUCAGGACUAAACUGCACUUGAUGACCAUUCUGCCCAGGCCAUUUGGGCACACCAGCAGCUAGUUUCAGUUAUUACAAUCGUUCUCUGCAGUACCUAAUAUCACUGUGGGUUUCAGCUAGAGAUGACAUUAACAAAAACUGGUAUUGACCAGGAGAAAACAUAGGACAUUAAUUUUAUGGAAUUGUAAGUGCUUAUGAUGGAGUGACACCCUUACACAACCAUGAAGGGGAAAAAACUACCUGACUGACUAGACACUCAGUCACCUGGAGAAAGAAAGGAGGGACUUCCCUUCCUGCAAAGGAUUAUGGGCAGAGAUGCUCCCUAUAAAACCCUUGAUUCCAAGAGCAUUGGAUUAUUGGAAGUGGUUAAGGAAAUGAGCCUGUUAUAAAACCCUGGGGGUACUUUUGUUAGGAAAAGUGAUUGAUGGUGUAGAAAGGCAUGUUAUGUGGAUUUUAAUAUUAUUGAGUGUG